UGAAACUGUGUCUGCUUAAGUUAUAUGUGCUGUUUCUCUUGUUUAUACUUACAGAUCUUUACACAAACCCCAGCUGUUACAUCUCCUUCCUGACACCUAGCUGCACAGUUCUGAAAGAAAAUAAAACAACAAAAAUAAGAAAGAGAAAGGAAAGUAGGCUCUUUCUGCGCACCUCCUCCUUUGUUGUAGAGCUCCAAGAC
rnacentral:lncRNA from 1 species